UACAGAGGUCCCGAGCGUUGUUCGGAUUCAUUGGGCGUAAAGCGUGCGCAGGCGGUUUGCUAAGACAGGUGUGAAAUCCCCGGGCUUAACCUGGGAACUGCGCUUGUUACUGGCAGGCUUGAGUGUGGCAGAGGGGGGUGGAAUUCCACGUGUAGCAGUGAAAUGCGUAGAGAUGUGGAGGAACACCGAUGGCGAAGGCAGCCCCCUGGGCUAACACUGACACUGAGAGACGAAAGCUAGGGGAGCGAAUGGG
rnacentral:rRNA from 1 species